GGAAAAUCCAGAACGUACCUUUGAUUUAGUAGUAAAGGUAAAAUGCCAGACAUCUGAGAAUGAAGCUUUCAUUGUCACCUCGCUUGGACUAGGGACAGGAAUUCAAAAAGCCUGAGUGGAUUCAAUCUUUGAAGGUGCUGACAUCCCCUUUCAUGUCUUCUACGUAUGCAUUGAAGAUGUCCUCUCAAACACCAAGAGCAACUUGGGAUUUCAAACUUUUUAUACUGCAGAAUGUAUACAGCAUUUGUUCCAACUCCAACAGUUCUUGAGAUAUUGGGCAUUAUGGAGAGGGAGGCUGAAUGGUACUUACUGUAACACUUUUAUUCCUGAGAAAUAUUAGUUCCAGAAAAAAAUAGUAAACAUUUAGCAAACAUUUUGUAAAAUUAGUUUAAAUUGUGAUCUCUUGUGAACUUUCAAAACUUAAAACAUGAGUUAUAAAGCAUUAUAAAAAAGAGCUUCAAGAGGUGUGCCCAAUCUCAAUUCAGUCUUUCUUGAAAUACCUGCAUCCCUUCCAUCUUUUGUAUCACAUGUCCACAAUAAUUUCUCUUUUAGGGGUUUGCAGGAUUCUCUUGAAAUGGUCACUGAUCGCAUGGACCAUGCAGAAAUGCAGUUUGUCAGCCUAUGAUAUGGAGUAUAUGUUUCUAUAGAAUGAAUAUUUUUCUUAAUUAUUCAAAUAUUUUAAAUUAUUCAGGAUCUCAUUUUUUUUUACAGCCUGCUCUUGAGAAGUGUCAUAAAAAAGAAUAUAUUUGUGUUGCUAGUGAUCUGAUAUUACUAUAUUAUGGAAACUGUAAUGGUAUUACAAAGAAGCAGUGUUAAAAAUAAAAAAUAAAAAAUGAUGUCCAGAUAGCACUAUUUGUUAUUAGAUAAUACAGUAGUAUAAGAGUAAUGUUGUAGUUGUGAUGGUCCAGAAAUGAUGUGACACUUAAUGAAGAAUGUUUUCCAUUCAAAAGCUUGUCUAAUUUUAUUCUGGUUACAUAGUUGGUUCAAUAAAAGAUA